ACUCUAAAUACAAAUGGCAUUCGUUGCAGAGGAGAAAGUGACUUUCAAGAGGAAGAAAUAGAGAAAACCAGGAAAAAUUCAGUGCAGUUUUUACUCCCUCAGUUCUCUCAGAUCUCAUUUAAAAUACUCCCACCAGCUGAAUGUGGACAGAACUGUGAAGAGCUUUCUGUAGAAAACUCACGGUUUGCAGAGACAAAGUCAGAGCGCCCUACCCUCAGAAACGGAAGCCAGGAGUGUAAAUGGAAAGUACACGGUACCGCCUGUCUGUGCAGAUCUUCUCUGGAAAGAACUCACCCUUGGCAAGGUUUGGCUGAAUCCCUGGAUGGGGAACCCUUGGCUAAAGGAAGGCCAACUGCAUUUGAAGAGAAAUAUCCACACACUGCAGAGGAGAAAGUGAUCGGGCUAUUGAUGCUGAGGGGUUAAAAUAAAAUGAAAACAAAUAGGGUUGGCUUGUGCCUGGAAUAACGUACACCACCAGGUCGGUAGGUGGGACUAUGAAC
rnacentral:lncRNA from 1 species